AAAGUGAUGGUAUCCUUUAUUCCUACCAUGAACAUGUAUAUGCAGUAAAACUUUAUAAAGAAUUACACAAUCCAAAAAAAAAAGUUAAGUAACAAAGGGACGAAAGAUACCAGAGGGACAGUCAAACUCAUAUAUCGAAAAAUAGAUUGACAACGCCAUGGCUAAAAAAAAACCAGACAAACAAUAGUACUCAUGACACAACAUAGAAAACUAAAGAAUAAAC
rnacentral:lncRNA from 1 species